rnacentral:rRNA from 1 species
AUUGAACGCUGGCGGCAUGCCUUACACAUGCAAGUCGAACGGCAGCACGGGGCAACCUGGUGGCGAGUGGCGAACGGGUGAGUAAUGCAUCGGAACGUACCUUUCAGUGGGGGAUAACGUAGCGAAAGUUACGCUAAUACCGCAUAUUCUGUGAGCAGGAAAGCAGGGGAUCGCAAGACCUUGCGCUGAUUGAGCGGCCGAUGUCAGAUUAGCUAGUUGGUGAGGUAAAGGCUCACCAAGGCGACGAUCUGUAGCGGGUCUGAGAGGAUGAUCCGCCACACUGGAACUGAGACACGGUCCAGACUCCUACGGGAGGCAGCAGUGGGGAAUUUUGGACAAUGGGGGCAACCCUGAUCCAGCCAUGCCGCGUGAGUGAAGAAGGCCUCCGGGUUGUAAAGCUCUUCCGGCCGGGAAGAAAUCGCACGGGCUAAUACCCUGUGUGGAUGACGGUACCGGAAUAAGAAGCACCGGCUAACUACGUGCCAGCCGCCGCCGUAAUAC